GGCAGAUAGUGCUGACGCUGGACCAGCAGACGAGACAGAUCCAGGAUAGCAGAGAUAUACUGACGGGGCUUCCUGAUGGAGAGACCGAGAGAAGGGUGUGUUGUCCACCUGAGGCGGUCAGGAGGGAUCUGAUGUAGUCCGGGUGGAACAGACGAACCAUGUUAUAGAAGGGGCCGAGAAACCAGGAGCAGGAAUGACCGUAUUUACAGACCAGAUCAUCCACACGCUGCAGACCCUCCUCAUUAUGACCCAUCUGAAGCACGCAGAUAAACACACGCAUACAGAAUAAAGCAUUAUCAGUA